GCCAGCGCCUAACGGAAAAUAUCUCGAGAGGUCGGGGUGGUCGGUAUCAUGCUAGUUGUUUCGUUCGCUGGUUAAUGAGUCGAGCUCUUUCCCUUCUCGCUUCAAACCAAACCAAAAUCGGAGCGGCGGAGCAAAACGAUCCGUAGCCUCGCUUACCUUCGAUUCAGCUCGACCAGGGCACUAACCGGGAAGCCAAUGCCGCGCGAGUCGCGAGAUCUGUAGCGCCAAUCGGCUUCACCGGCGGCGGGGUGGGCAUGGAAGCGCAGAACGGCUCCUGCGGAGGGGCGCCCGUGGUGCUCAACGUGUACGACCUGACGCCCAUGAACAACUACCUCUACUGGUUCGGCCUCGGUAUUUUCCACUCUGGAAUCGAAGUUCAUGGUAUGGAGUACGGAUUUGGAGCACACCAGUUUCCGGCAAGUGGAGUAUUCGAGGUGGAACCGAAAAGCUGUCCUGGUUUCAUCUACAGAAGAUCUGUGUGGAUGGGCACAACUGACUUGUCUAGAGCAGAGUUCCGCUCGUUCAUUGAAAAUCUUGCAGGAAAGUACAACGGCAACACGUAUCAUUUGAUUUCGAAGAACUGCAACCAUUUUACAGAUGAUGUCUGUAAGAGCUUGACCAAGAAAUCAAUCCCUGGGUGGGUGAAUAGGCUAGCAAGAGUGGGUUCAUUUUUUAAUUGUCUUCUACCAGAAAGCAUCCAAGUUUCCACAGUAAGACACGUUCCUACUCAAUCUGCAUUUUCUGGUGAGUUUGUGCCUGGAAAUUCUUCUUAUUAGGAUUUGUGCAGUUGACCUGUUUUUUUUUAAUAAAAACUGUUACGUAGGCGGUAGACGCCUAGACCUUGUUGUGAAACUUUACAUUUUUAACUGUCCUAUAAACAUCAACAAAUUGAACCUCCGUUGGACUGGUAUUCCUUGGUGUAAUGAGUGGCUGACCAUCCUGAAUACUUUACUAGCAAGUAAUCUGGUAGACUUUUGGCCAUAUUCGAAAUAACCACCCAGCCUAGUAAAAAAGAGGUAAUGAUAAUGUAUAGCUAGUAAGUUAGAUAGGACUGAGUUAUCAACACUAAGAUUAUUAGUUUCUCAGAAUUCAUUUUCUUCAGCUCAAUAUCUUGUGACCUUCUAUAAGCCACUCCAGAUUCUAACUGAGACUUCAAACAAGGGCGGAUCUACACCCGGGCCACCCGGUCCAGGGCCCGGGGCUUGAUCCAUAUAACUGAGCCUUAGACCCGUGCUCUGGCGUGGGAUAGACGAGGAGAUUUUUUUAACCACGGCCUGGAAUUCGCUCCCACGGGGAGUCGAACUCAGUAACUGAGUGCUACUCAUACCACCUAACCAACUCAGAUGAUGAUAUGGAUUCGGUAUCUUCAUCGGUUCUUGGAGACAGUGAUCUGGGAGAGUUAGACCAACACCUUCUGCCAUCGUCAACUGCUGACGUCCAUUCUAUAGACGUGCCACCAAAUCUAGCCAAGGAUCUUCUCUGAAUUAUCCAACCCUUUGGAUUCCACGUAGCAGGAUAGCUUAAAUUGCUGCAGUUGAUGUCCACUUAGUGCCUCUCCAGGUGGCAUAGGAAUGCAGGAGUGUAGAUGAAUGCUGCUGAUUGUGUUGAUUCUUUGCCACUGAAUUUGUUACAUACGCACACACAGCUCUCGACAGAAAUGACGUGCUUUCUAAUUAUUUUCCUGUUA